GGGAAACUGGGGCUAAUCCACGAUAGGUGUGGAGGCCUGGAAUGGUUCCACGCCCAAAUGCACUUCGAUCAUGUUUGAUGUGUGCCCGAGGAUGGGGCUGCGGCCGAUCAGGCAGUUGGCGAGGUAACGGCUCACCAAACCUUUGACCGGUACGGGCCAUGAAAGUGGUAGCCCGGAGAUGGGCACUGAGACAGGGGCCCAGGCCCUACGGGGCGCAGCAGGCGCGAAAACUCCACAAUGUACGGAAGUACGAUGGGGUUAUCUCGAGUGCAGUCCGAUAGGGGUUGCUUUUCCAUAGAGUAAUAUCCUGUGGGAAUAAGAGGGGGGCAAGACUGGUGUCAGCCGCCGCGGUAACACCAGCCCCUCGAGUGGUGGGGACUAUUAUUUGGCCUAAAGCGUCCGUAGCUGGCUGUAUCAGUCUCCCGGUAAAUCCGGCGUCCUAAGCGUCGGACUUCGGGUGAUACCAUACAGCUAGAGGGUGGGAUAGGUGAGCGGUAUUUCUGGGGUAGGGGCGAAAUCCUUUGAUCCCAGGAGGACCACCAGUGGCGAAGGCUGCUCACUAGAACACGCCUGACGGUCAGGGACGAAAGCUGGGGCAGCGAACCGGAUUAGAUACCCGGGUAGUCCCAGCUGUAAACGAUGCUAGCUAGGUGUUGGGUCGGCCACGCGCCGCCCCAGUGCCGCAGGGAAGCCGUUAAGCUAGCCGCCCGGGGAGUACGGCCGCAAGCUGAAACUUA
rnacentral:rRNA from 1 species